rnacentral:rRNA from 1 species
UUAAGUUAUUAAGGGCGCACGGUGGAUGCCUUGGCACUAGAAGCCGAUGAAGGACGUUACUAACGACGAUAUGCUUUGGGGAGCUGUAAGUAAGCUUUGAUCCAGAGAUUUCCGAAUGGGGGAACCCAGCAUGAGUUAUGUCAUGUUAUCGAUAUGUGAAUACAUAGCAUAUCAGAAGGCACACCCGGAGAACUGAAACAUCUUAGUACCCGGAGGAAGAGAAAGAAAAUUCGAUUCCCUUAGUAGCGGCGAGCGAAACGGGAAGAGCCCAAACCAACAAGCUUGCUUGUUGGGGUUGUAGGACACUCUAUACGGAGUUACAAAGGACGACAUUAGACGAAUCAUCUGGAAAGAUGAAUCAAAGAAGGUAAUAAUCCUGUAGUCGAAAAUGUUGUCUCUCUUGAGUGGAUCCUGAGUACGACGGAGCACGUGAAAUUCCGUCGGAAUCUGGGAGGACCAUCUCCUAAGGCUAAAUACUCUCUAGUGACCGAUAGUGAACCAGUACCGUGAGGGAAAGGUGAAAAGCACCCCGGAAGGGGAGUGAAAUAGAACCUGAAACCGUGUGCUUACAAGUAGUCAGAGCCCGUUAAUGGGUGAUGGCGUGCCUUUUGUAGAAUGAACCGGCGAGUUACGAUUUGAUGCAAGGUUAAGCAGUAAAUGUGGAGCCGUAGCGAAAGCGAGUCUGAAUAGGGCGUUUAGUAUUUGGUCGUAGACCCGAAACCAGGUGAUCUACCCUUGGUCAGGUUGAAGUUCAGGUAACACUGAAUGGAGGACCGAACCGACUUACGUUGAAAAGUGAGCGGAUGAACUGAGGGUAGCGGAGAAAUUCCAAUCGAACCUGGAGAUAGCUGGUUCUCUCCGAAAUAGCUUUAGGGCUAGCCUCAAGUGAUGAUUAUUGGAGGUAGAGCACUGUUUGGACGAGGGGCCCCUCUCGGGUUACCGAAUUCAGACAAACUCCGAAUGCCAAUUAAUUUAACUUGGGAGUCAGAACAUGGGUGAUAAGGUCCGUGUUCGAAAGGGAAACAGCCCAGACCACCAGCUAAGGUCCCAAAAUAUAUGUUAAGUGGAAAAGGAUGUGGCGUUGCCCAGACAACUAGGAUGUUGGCUUAGAAGCAGCCAUCAUUUAAAGAGUGCGUAAUAGCUCACUAGUCGAGUGACACUGCGCCGAAAAUGUACCGGGGCUAAACAUAUUACCGAAGCUGUGGAUUGUCCUUUGGACAAUGGUAGGAGAGCGUUCUAAGGGCGUUGAAGCAUGAUCGUAAGGACAUGUGGAGCGCUUAGAAGUGAGAAUGCCGGUGUGAGUAGCGAAAGACGGGUGAGAAUCCCGUCCACCGAUUGACUAAGGUUUCCAGAGGAAGGCUCGUCCGCUCUGGGUUAGUCGGGUCCUAAGCUGAGGCCGACAGGCGUAGGCGAUGGAUAACAGGUUGAUAUUCCUGUACCACCUAUAAUCGUUUUAAUCGAUGGGGGGACGCAGUAGGAUAGGCGAAGCGUGCGAUUGGAUUGCACGUCUAAGCAGUAAGGCUGAGUAUUAGGCAAAUCCGGUACUCGUUAAGGCUGAGCUGUGAUGGGGAGAAGACAUUGUGUCUUCGAGUCGUUGAUUUCACACUGCCGAGAAAAGCCUCUAGAUAGAAAAUAGGUGCCCGUACCGCAAACCGACACAGGUAGUCAAGAUGAGAAUUCUAAGGUGAGCGAGCGAACUCUCGUUAAGGAACUCGGCAAAAUGACCCCGUAACUUCGGGAGAAGGGGUGCUCUUUAGGGUUAACGCCCAGAAGAGCCGCAGUGAAUAGGCCCAAGCGACUGUUUAUCAAAAACACAGGUCUCUGCUAAACCGUAAGGUGAUGUAUAGGGGCUGACGCCUGCCCGGUGCUGGAAGGUUAAGAGGAGUGGUUAGCUUCUGCGAAGCUACGAAUCGAAGCCCCAGUAAACGGCGGCCGUAACUAUAACGGUCCUAAGGUAGCGAAAUUCCUUGUCGGGUAAGUUCCGACCCGCACGAAAGGCGUAACGAUUUGGGCACUGUCUCAACGAGAGACUCGGUGAAAUCAUAGUACCUGUGAAGAUGCAGGUUACCCGCGACAGGACGGAAAGACCCCGUGGAGCUUUACUGUAGCCUGAUAUUGAAAUUCGGCACAGCUUGUACAGGAUAGGUAGGAGCCUUUGAAACGUGAGCGCUAGCUUACGUGGAGGCGCUGGUGGGAUACUACCCUAGCUGUGUUGGCUUUCUAACCCGCACCACUUAUCGUGGUGGGAGACAGUGUCAGGCGGGCAGUUUGACUGGGGCGGUCGCCUCCUAAAAGGUAACGGAGGCGCUCAAAGGUUCCCUCAGAAUGGUUGGAAAUCAUUCAUAGAGUGUAAAGGCAUAAGGGAGCUUGACUGCGAGACCUACAAGUCGAGCAGGGUCGAAAGACGGACUUAGUGAUCCGGUGGUUCCGCAUGGAAGGGCCAUCGCUCAACGGAUAAAAGCUACCCCGGGGAUAACAGGCUUAUCUCCCCCAAGAGUUCACAUCGACGGGGAGGUUUGGCACCUCGAUGUCGGCUCAUCGCAUCCUGGGGCUGUAGUCGGUCCCAAGGGUUGGGCUGUUCGCCCAUUAAAGCGGUACGCGAGCUGGGUUCAGAACGUCGUGAGACAGUUCGGUCCCUAUCCGUCGUGGGCGUAGGAAAUUUGAGAGGAGCUGUCCUUAGUACGAGAGGACCGGGAUGGACACACCUCUGGUGUACCAGUUGUCGUGCCAACGGCAUAGCUGGGUAGCUAUGUGUGGACGGGAUAAGUGCUGAAAGCAUCUAAGCAUGAAGCCCCCCUCAAGAUGAGAUUUCCCAACUUCGGUUAUAAGAUCCCUCAAAGAUGAUGAGGUUAAUAGGUUCGAGGUGGAAGCAUGGUGACAUGUGGAGCUGACGAAUACUAAUCGAUCGAAGACUUAAUCAA